GGGGCUGUAGUUCAGUGGUAGAGUACUUGCCUAGCACAUAUGAGGCACUGAGUUCGAUUCUCAGCACCA
rnacentral:tRNA from 1 species